UACGGAGGGGGCUAGCGUUGUUCGGAAUUACUGGGCGUAAAGCGCACGUAGGCGGCUUUGUAAGUUAGAGGUGAAAGCCCAGGGCUCAACUCCGGAAUUGCCUUUAAGACUGCAUCGCUAGAAUUGUGGAGAGGUAAGUGGAAUUCCGAGUGUAGAGGUGAAAUUCGUAGAUAUUCAGAAGAACACCAGUGGCGAAGGCGACUUACUGGACACAUAUUGACGCUGAGGUGCGAAAGCGUGGGGAGCAAACAGG
rnacentral:rRNA from 1 species